UCCCUCUUAGCUCAGUUGGUAGAGCGCGUCACUAGUACGGGUCAAACCAGGUUGAAGCUAUUUCCUUAAUGACGAGGUCAGUCGUUCAAGUCGGCUAGAGGGAA